rnacentral:ncRNA from 2 species
CUGGUUGAUCCUGCCAGUAGUCAUAUGCUUGUCUCAAAGAUUAAGCCAUGCAUGUGCAGUAUGAACUAAUUUGAACUGUGAAACUGCGAAUGGCUCAUUAAAUCAGUUAUAGUUUGUUUGAUGGUACGUGCUACUCGGAUAACCAUAGUAAUUCUAGAGCUAAUACGUGCAACAAACGCCGACUUCCGGGAGGGGCGCAUUUAUUAGAUAAAAGACUGACGCGGGCUCUGCUCGCUGAUCCGAUGAUUCAUGAUAACUUGACGGAUCGCACGGCCCUCGUGCCGGUGACACAUCAUUCAAAUUUCUGCCCUAUCAAGUUUCGAUGGUAGGAUAGGUGCCUACCAUGGUGGCGACGGGUGACGGAAAAUUAGGGUUCGAUUCCGGAGAGGGAGCCUGAGAAACGGCUACCACAUCCAAGGAAGGCAGCAGGCGCGCAAAUUACCCAAUCCUAACACGGGGAGGUAGUGACAAUAAAUAACAAUACCGGGCGCGUUAGUGUGUGGUAAUUGGAAUGAGUACAAUCGGCUAUAGAGUCUGGGAGAAUCAAGUUUGACAGUUCCAAGAAUCAGAAGCUGAUGAA